GACGAACGCUGGCGGCGUGCUUAACACAUGCAAGUCGAACGAAGUGGCGAACGGGUGAGUAACGCGUAAUCAACCUGCCCUUCAGAGGGGGACAACAGUUGGAAACGGUGGCUAAUACCGCAUACUGUCGGAUGACCCAAUAUGGGAUUAGCUAGUUGGAGGGGUAACGGCCCACCAAGGCGAUGAUCAGUAGCCGGUCUGAGAGGAUGAACGGCCACAUUGGGACUGAGACACGGCCCAGACUCCUACGGGAGGCAGCAGUGGGGAAUCUUCCGCAAUGGACGAAAGUCUGACGGAGCAACGCCGCGUGAGUGAUGACGGCCUUCGGGUUGUAAAGCUCUGUUAAUCGGGACGCGGUACCGGAAUAGAAAGCCACGGCUAACUACGUGCCAGCAGCCGCGGUAAUAC
rnacentral:rRNA from 1 species